UGAAAUGGAGUUAACAAACAUUUUAUUUAUUUUAAAACAUUUUGUUUUAUUUUUAGACUAUUUUAUCAAACAAUAGCUGAGUGCGCUUUCUUUUCAGCUGCUGUUUGAAACUUCUCAAAAAAUGACCAUAUUUUAGACCACAAAACAACUCUUAGCAAAAAAAUCAAUAUAACGGUUUCAUUUUAUCAGAUCAUAAUGCAAUGAAAUUAGACCCCCCGACAAAAAAACCUACAGAAAGUAUAUGAACAUAUGGAUAUUAAAUGGUACACUUUUAAAUGAUGGAUAAUAGAAGAAAUCAAAGGGCAAAUUUAAAAUUAUUAGAAUCAAAUAAAAAUAGUGAUACAGCAUACUGGAACCUCUGGGAAACUAUGAAGACACUUUUCUAAGAGGAAGGUUUAUAGCUAUGAAUGGAUACAUAAGAAAAUCAGAAAGAUCCCAAUAAUGCAUUCCAAAGCUCUUGAAAAACAAUAACAAACCAAUUACAAAACCAACAGAAGAAAAGAAAUAAUUAACAUUGAAGCUGAAAUAAACAAAAUUGAGAAUAAAAAUGCAACACAAAGGAUCAAUGAAACAAAAAGUUGGUUCUUUGAAAAGAUUAAACCAGAUUGAUAAUCCCUUAGUCAAACCAACCAAAAGAAAAAUAAAGAAAACCCAAAUUAAUGAAAUUAAAGAUUUAAAAAAGAGAAAUCAUCAAAGGCAUCACAGAAAUCCAGAGGAUCAUUAGGGACUAUUUUGAAAAUUUAUACUGCAAUAAGUUGGAAGCGUAGAAGAAAUAGAUAUAUUUCUAGAUGCAUAUAACAUGCAAAAAAUGAAUCAAGAGUACAUAAAAAAAUCUUAAACAGAGCGAUAACUAUCAAGGAGAUAGAAGCAAUAAUAAAAUGACUUCCAAAAAAGAAAAACUCAGGACCAAAUGAAGUCUCAACUGAAUUCUACCAGAACAUUUAAAAAAAGAACUAAUGCCAGUGCUCCUCAAAUUAUUACAUGAAAUAGAGAGGGAUGGAACACUUCCAAAUUCAUUCUAUGAAGCCAGUAUCACACUCAUACCAAAACCAGAUAAGGACACCCUAAGUAAAGAAUACUAGUGAUCAAUAUCCCUGAUGAACUUGGAUGUAAAAAUGAUUAACAAAAUAUUAGAAAAUAAUAUUCAACAACAUUGUAAGAAGAUGACACAUCAUGACCAAAUUAGUUUUAUCCCAG
rnacentral:lncRNA from 1 species